AAGUUGUUGCAGUUAAAAAGCUCGUAGUUGAAUUUCUGGCCUUGGGUCUCGGUCCGCCUCAAACGAGGUGCGUACCUGGGACCUGAGGCCAUCCUCGGGAAAAACAUAUCUGUCAUUAAGUUAAUGGGUAUGGGAUUCCCGUCAUUUACUGUGAGCAAAAUAGGGUGUUCAAAGCAGGCUUAUGCCGUUGAAUACAUUAGCAUGGAAUAAUAAGA
rnacentral:rRNA from 1 species